GAUGAACGCUGGCGGCGUGCCUAAUACAUGCAAGUCGAGCGAACAGACCUGCUUUUUCCUCCUCUUACGUUAUCGUCGGAUGGGUAAGUAACACGUGGCUAACCUGCCUUUAGCCCUGGGCUUACUUCUGAAACCCGGAGCUAAUACCUAAUUAUCUAUUGAACUGCAUGGUUCAGUCUUUAAAGGCGGUUUUUCUGUUACUUGUUGGUGAUUCCGCGCCGCAUUAUCUAGUUGUUAAGGUAACGGUUUACUACGGAAACGGUGCGUAGCCGACCUGAGAGGGUGAUCGGCGACAGUGGAACUGAGACACGGUCAAGACUCCUACGGGAGGCAGCAGUAGGGAAUCUUCCGAAAUGAGCGAAAGCCUGACGGAGAAGCGCCGAGGGAGUGAUGAAGGUCUUCGGAUAGGAAAACUAUGUUAUUAGGGAAGAACAAAUGUGUAAGUAACUAUGCACGUCUUGACGGUACCUAAUCAGAAAGCCACGGCUAACUACGUG
rnacentral:rRNA from 1 species